rnacentral:rRNA from 1 species
UGCAAGUCGAACGAUGAAGGGGAGCUUGCUCCCUGGAAUAGUGGCGAACGGGUGAGUAACACGUGAGCAACCUGCCCCUAACUCUGGGAUAACGCUUCGGAAGGAGUGCUAAUACCGGAUAUGAGCCUGGAAGACAUCUUCUGGGUUGGAAAGUUUUCGGUUAGGGAUGGGCUCGCGGCCUAUCAGCUUGUUGGUGAGGUAAAGGCUCACCAAGGCGACGACGGGUAUCCGGCCUGAGAGGGCGACCGGACACACUGGGACUGAGACACGGCCCAGACUCC